GNUUNAUUCGAUGAUACGCGAGGNACCUUACCAGGGCUUNAAUGCAAGUUGAGUGAUGUGGAAACAUGUCAGUCUUCGGACAAUUUGCAAGGUGCUGCAUGGCUGUCGUCAGCUCGUGCCGUGAGGUGUUGGGUUAAGUCCCGCAACGAGCGCAACCCCCAUCUUUAGUUGCUAGCAGGUAAUGCUGAGGACUCUAAAGAAACUGCCUACGCAAGUAGUGAGGAAGGCGGGGACGACGUCAAGUCAUCACGGCCCUUACGUCCUGGGCCACACACGUGCUACAAUGGUUGGUACAGAGGGCAGCUACUGGGUGACCAGAUGCGAAUCUCUAAAGCCAAUCUCAGUUCGGAUUGGAGUCUGCAACUCGACUCUAUGAAGCUGGAAUCGCUAGUAAUCGCGCAUCAGCCAUGGCGCGGUGAAUACGUUCCCGGGCCUUGUACACACCGCCCGUCAAACAAUGGAAGCUGGGGGUGCCUGAAGUCGGUAACCGCAAG
rnacentral:rRNA from 1 species